GACGAACGCUGGCGGCGUGCUUAACACAUGCAAGUCGAACGGUAAGGCCCUUCGGGGUACACGAGUGGCGAACGGGUGAGUAACACGGGGGUGAUCUGCCCUGCACUUCGGGAUAAGCCUGGGAAACUGGGUCUAAUACCGGAUAGGACCACUGCCUGCAUGGGUGGGGGUGGAAAGCUUUUGAGGUGUGGGAUGGGCCCGCGGCCUAUCAGCUUGUUGGUGGGGUGAUGGCCUACCAAGGCGACGACGGGUAGCCGGCCUGAGAGGGUGACCGGCCACACUGGGACUGAGAUACGGCCCAGACUCCUACGGGAGGCAGCAGUGGGGAAUAUUGCACAAUGGGCGCAAGCCUGAUGCAGCGACGCCGCGUGAGGGAUGACGGCCUUCGGGUUGUAAACCUCUUUCAGCAUCGACGAAGCGAAAGUGACGGUAGGUGCAGAAGAAGGACCGGCCAACUACGUGCCAGCAGCCGCGGUAA
rnacentral:rRNA from 1 species